rnacentral:rRNA from 1 species
GGGCCCGCACAAGCGGUGGAGCAUGUGGUUUAAUUCGAUGAUACGCGAGGAACCUUACCAGGGCUUAAAUGUAGGUUGCAUGAUCUAGAGAUAGAUCUUUCUUCGGACUACCUACAAGGUGCUGCAUGGUUGUCGUCAGCUCGUGCCGUGAGGUGUCAGGUUAAGUCCUAUAACGAGCGCAACCCCUGUCGUUAGUUACCAGCAAUUAAAGUUGGGUACUCUAGCGAGACUGCCGGUGCAAACCGUGAGGAAGGUGGGGAUGACGUCAAAUCAUCACGGCCCUUACGUCCUGGGCUACACACGUGCUACAAUGGCCGGUACAGAGAGCAGCCACUACGCGAGUAGGAGCGAAUCUUCAAACCCUAUCUCAGUUCGGAUCGGAGUCUGCAACUCGACUCCGUGAAGUUGGAAUCGCUAGUAAUCG